GGCGCUGUGGGAUGAACCAAACGUCGAGUUAAGGGGCCUAAAUGAAUGCUCAUACAGAUCCCACGAAAGGUGUUGGUUGCUAUAGACAGCAGGACGGUGGCCAUGGAAGUUGGAAUCCGCUAAGGAGUGUGUAACAACUCACCUGCCGAAGCAACUAGCCCUUAAAAUGGUAUGGCGCUAAAGCAUUCUCCCGAUACUCGACCGCCGGUGGCACAACAGGCCUAGCCAUGCAGGUCUUGAAGCCCCGGUGAGUAGGAGGGCCGCGGUGGUGAGCGCUGAAGGGUGCGGCGUGAGCCGGCCUGGAGCCGCCACUGGCGCAGAUCUUGGUGGUAGUAGCAAAUAGUCGAGAGAGACUCUACCUGGAAGACCGAUGUGGGGCAGGG
rnacentral:rRNA from 1 species